UGAAGUCGUAACAAGGUAGCCGUACCGGAAGGUGCGGCUGGAUCACCUCCUUUCUAAGGAGCACUUCUUGACUGCCGGCCCUCGGGCUUGGUGGUCCAGAGGCCAGUUCAUCGGCGAACGUCUGAUGCUGGUUGCUCAUGGGUGGAACGUUGACUAUUCGGCACAUUCGGUCUGCUGGGACUGUGAGUACUGCUUCGGCGUGGAAAACAGUUCGAGGGGAUGGAAGGUGUCGGGCACGCUGUUGGGUGUCUGAGGGAGCGGCCACGAUGUGGUUGUUUCUUCGGUUGCCGGCCCCAGUGAACUCGGGAUGUAUGUCUCGGGGUGGUGGGUGGUUGGUCGUUGUUUGAGAACUGCACAGUGGACGCGAGCAUCUGUGGCCAAGUUUUUAAGGGCGCACGGUGGAUGCCUUG
rnacentral:misc_RNA from 1 species